CUAAGAAUCUUCCGCAAUGGACGAAAGUCUGACGGAGCGACGCCGCGUGAACGAUGAAGGCCGAAAGGUUGUAAAGUUCUUUUCUUGUUGAGGAAUAAGAUAGGGAGGGAAUGCCCUAUUGAUGACGGUAGGCAAGGAAUAAGCCCCGGCCAAUUACGUGCCAGCAGCCGCGGUAACACGUAUGGGGCGAGCGUUGUUCGGAAUCAUUGGGCGUAAAGGGCGCGCAGGCGGUUGCGUAAGCCUGGUGUGAAAGACCGCAGCUUAACUGCGGGAGCGCGCUGGGAACUGUGUAACUAGAGUUCAAGAGGGGGAGUUGGAAUUCCAGGUGUAGGGGUGAAAUCUGUAGAUAUCUGGAAGAACAUCGGUGGCGAAGGCGAACUCCUGGCUAUGAACUGACGCUGAGGCGCGAAAGCGUGGGGAGCGAACAGGAUUAGAUACCCCCGUAGUCC
rnacentral:rRNA from 1 species